GUAGUCUCGCACAGAUGCAUAUCAAUAAGCGGAGGAAAAGAAACUAACAAGGAUUCCCCUAGUAACGGCGAGUGAAGCGGGAAGAGCUCAAAUUUGAAAUCUUAAAGGGUUUCCCUUUACGAAUUGUAGUUUAAAGAAGUGUUUUCUGUUGAGGUUUUGGUAAAAGUUCUUUGGAAUAGGACAUCAUAGAGGGUGAGAAUCCCGUAUUUGACCUUUACUUUCAACUUUGUGAUACACUUUCAAAGAGUCGGAUUGUUUGGGAAUGCAGUCCAAAAUGGGUGGUAAAUUUCAUCUAAAGCUAAAUAUUGGCGAGAGACCGAUAGCGAACAAGUACCGUGAGGGAAAGAUGAAAAGAACUUUGAAAAGAGAGUUAAACAGUACGUGAAAUUGUCAAAAGGGAAGCGUUUGACACCAGUGUUGUUUUUCUGAAAAUCAAUUAAAGAACUGUUUAUGCUAAGCUGUUUAGACUUUAUCAGCUAACUGUUUAGUUUUGAGCUUUUCUUUAAUGCACUUUUCAGUUAACAAGUCAACAUCAAUUUCUUUUGCUGUAAAAAAGCUUGAGGAAGGUGGCUUGAGAUUCGUCUUAAGUGUUUAUAGGCCUCUUGCCUAUGCAGUCGGAGAGAUUGAGGUCUGCAGCGUAGAUCCUUCGGGGCUAAAUGCAUUUGUGCUAAGUUAUAGCAUUUUAUAGACAACUUGUUGACUAUGAUUUGUCUUGUAGCUUACUCGCUUAUGUUAUUUUACCUACGCUUAGGAUGUUGAUCUGUAGUGCGUGCGC
rnacentral:rRNA from 1 species